AGCAGCCGCGGUAAUUCCAGCUCCAAUAGCGUAUAUUAAAGUUGUUGCAGUUAAAAAGCUCGUAGUUGAAUUUCGGGAUCAAAGGAUCGGUCAUGCCUUGGUAUGUACUGGUUUUAUUGGUUCUCACCUUCUAAAGAACCAUAAUGUCAUUCAUUUGAUGUUAUGGGGAAUUAGGACUGUUACCUUGAAAAAAUUAGAGUGUUUAAAGCAGGCUUACGCUUGAAUACAUUAGCAUGGAAUAAUGAAAUAGGACGUUUGAUUCUAUUUUGUUGGUUUCUAGGAUCGACGUAAUGAUUAAUAGGGAUAGUUGGGGGCAUUAGUAUUCAAUUGUCAGAGGUGAAAUUCUUGGAUUUAUUGAAGACUAACUACUGCGAAAGCAUUUGCCAAGGAUGUUUUCAUUAAUCAAGAACGAAAGUUAGGGGAUCGAAGACGAUCAGAUACCGUCGUAGUCUUAACCAUAAACUAUGCCGACUAGGGAUCGGAUGAUGUUAAUUUUUUUAAUGACUCAUUCGGCGCCUUA
rnacentral:rRNA from 1 species